UUUGUGCGUCCAUGCAGUCGAGCGGACAGAAGGGAGCUUGCUCCCGGAUGUUAGCGGCGGACGGGUGAGUNACACGUGGGUAACCUGCCUGUAAGACUGGGAUAACUCCGGGAAACCGGAGCUAAUACCGGAUAGUUCCUUGAACCGCAUGGUUCAAGGAUGAAAGACGGUUUCGGCUGUCACUUACAGAUGGACCCGCGGCGCAUUAGCUAGUUGGUGAGGUAACGGCUCACCAAGGCGACGAUGCGUAGCCGACCUGAGAGGGUGAUCGGCCACACUGGGACUGAGACACGGCCCAGACUCCUACGGGAGGCAGCAGUAGGGAAUCUUCCGCAAUGGACGAAAGUCUGACGGAGCAACGCCGCGUGAGUGAUGAAGGUUUUCGGAUCNUAAAGCUCUGUUGUUAGGGAAGAACAAGUGCAAGAGUAACUGCUUGCACCUUGACGGUACCUAACCAGAAAGCCACGGCUAACUACGUGCCANCANCCGCGGUAAUACGUAGGUGGCAAGCGUUGUCCGGAAUUAUUGGGCGUAAAGGGCUCGCANGCGGUUUCUUAANUCUGANGUGAAANCCCCCGGNUCAACCGGUGAGGGUCNUUGGAAACUGGGAAACUUGANUGCAGAAAAAGAGAGUGGAAUUCCACNUGUANCGGUUAAAUGCGUANAU
rnacentral:rRNA from 1 species